rnacentral:misc_RNA from 1 species
GAUGAAGAACGCAGCGAAAUGCGAUAAGUAAUGUGAAUUGCAGAAUUCAGUGAAUCAUCGAAUCUUUGAACGCACAUUGCGCCCGCGAGUAUUCUCGCGGGCAUGCCUGUCCGAGCGUCAUUUCAACCCUCAGGGCCCGCCUGCUUGCAGGCGCGGCGCUGGUGUUGGGGAUCGGCUACCCUGCCGUCCCCCAAAUACAGUGGCGGUCUCGCUGCAGCCUCCCCUGCGUAGUAGCAACACUCGCAUGCGGAGCGCGGCGCGGCCACGCCGUAAAACCCCCGACUUUCUGAACGUUGACCUCGGAUCAGGUAGGAAUACCCGCUGAACUUAAGCAUAUCAUAAGCGGAGGA